AGUGAACGCUGGCGGUAGGCCUAACACAUGCAAGUCGAACGGCAGCACAGUAAGAGCUUGCUCUUACGGGUGGCGAGUGGCGGACGGGUGAGGAAUACAUCGGAAUCUACUUUUUCGUGGGGGAUAACGUAGGGAAACUUACGCUAAUACCGCAUACGACCUACGGGUGAAAGCAGGGGAUCUUCGGACCUUGCGCGAUUGAAUGAGCCGAUGUCGGAUUAGCUAGUUGGCGGGGUAAAGGCCCACCAAGGCGACGAUCCGUAGCUGGUCUGAGAGGAUGAUCAGCCACACUGGAACUGAGACACGGUCCAGACUCCUACGGGAGGCAGCAGUGGGGAAUAUUGGACAAUGGGCGCAAGCCUGAUCCAGCCAUACCGCGUGGGUGAAGAAGGCCUUCGGGUUGUAAAGCCCUUUUGUUGGGAAAGAAAUCCAGCCGGCUAAUACCUGGUUGGGAUGACGGUACCCAAAGAAUAAGCACCGGCUAACUUCGUGCCAGCAGCCGCGGUAAUACGAAGGGUGCAAGCGUUACUCGGAAUUACUGGGCGUAAAGCGUGCGUAGGUGGUCGUUUAAGUCUGUUGUGAAAGCCCUGGGCUCAACCUGGGAACUGCAGUGGAAACUGGACGACUAGAGUGUGGUAGAGGGUAGCGGAAUUCCUGGUGUAGCAGUGAAAUGCGUAGAGAUCAGGAGGAACAUCCAUGGCGAAGGCAGCUACCUGGACCAACACUGACACUGAGGCACGAAAGCGUGGGGAGCAAACA
rnacentral:rRNA from 1 species